UCCUACUUUAUAUAGGAAAUCCCAAUGCAUUCUAGUUCAUAUUGCCCAUAUUAUUGAACGUAGAGCAUAAUUUUGCUAUUUUAAAUGGCAUAGGAUUCAUAGUUGCAUCUUGUCUUUGAUAAUAUAGUAUUUUUCUUACUUGUACUUUAUUUGAUGGUGAGUCCUUUGGUAGGGGCAGUAGGGGCUCCAUGUCUGGUCAUUGUAUCAUACAACAUGAGGAAGGGAAUGUCAGAAGAUGCUAUCAGUUCUGAUGCCUUAUGCAAACAUAAAGAAACAGUGCUUUCCUUGUGGACAUAAGUGGGGGCUAGAUUCACAGGCCAUGACUCACAGCACACACCUUCUAGUCUGAUCACAGGCUGUUUGCAGCCCCUAAAACAAGCCAUGCUUCUCUUAGCUUAUCCUUAAGUCUCUCCCCUGAAGGCCACUCUCUCUUUUCCUGCCUUCGCUAAAUGCUACUCAAAUAUUAAGGGCCUUAUUAGGCCAACAUCUUUAGUAAAGUUCCUUCUGCUUACUCUAGACUCUACUGAUAUUACCCAAACUCUCUUAAUCCUAAAUUGUGUCUGCCCACAAUUUAGCACUUAAUUGCAUAUCACAUAGUAUCAUUUAAGGGAGACUUAAAAUCUGGCAGUUCUUGAUUGAACUUGAUGGGCAUCCCGUCCCUCCCUGGAAGACCACAUAAUGGGUUCCCUUUUAGCUAAUGAUAUUACAAACCCCUUGUGUGCUAAGGAAGAAGCAUUAUUUUGCCCCAAUGUCACCAUUGAUCUUAUGCAGCCUUGACUUUCACUGAUGCUCCCUGUGUCUUAUUGCCUCCCCAGGUGCAAGAAUUAUCUCACACCUCACACCAUUCCCUGGAGUCCUGAGGACUUACCCAGAUACUCAGUAGGAUGGGAAAUUGGGGGUGAAAAAUGACAGUUAAUUGGAAGGGCAUGGCCUGCAGCCUGAGAGAAGUUGCUGAGUUUGGAAAGUAGGAAGGCGGUGAACUGGCCAAGGGAUCAUGAGUUUACAGCUUGUGACCACGAUGUAAAGGAAGGACCGGUCCCAUUCCACACCUGAUCCUUAGGGGCCUCAGGCCUCUGGGUUUGGCAGCUGGGAUUGGUAUUGUUCUGUGUCAUCCACAAUGAUCUCUGCCAAAGAGGGCCUGAAGAUACAGGCUUCCUUCCUGCUUGCCAGCUUCAGAAUGGCUCGGGUGUUCCCAGAACUGGCCAAUCUAUGCACCUAGAACUGAGGCUUGACACUCCCCAGGUUCAGGGCAGUCCUAGAAGCAAGCUAAAGCCUCUCCCCUUGGGGUAGAUCUCCAAGGCUGGCAUCCUGGGAGCUUGGUGCAUAAGGCUGAUUCACCUGCCACAGGACCUAUGAGCUCUGUGUGUGUCCCCAGUGGCAAGGGCAUUGACCCUGGGCUACCUGUCCCAGUCACAAUUCUGGACCCCUGCUCUGAGGGCUAUAUUUAGAGGAAUUGUACCCCGACUUCCCUGCCAACCUAGAGACACACACACCCUAUCUCAGGACCUCACAGGAACUCAUCCUAGUCUUCAAGUAUCAGAGUCGUUCACCCAUUUAUUCAUCCAUAUACUCAACAAAUAACUAUUAUGAAUCUCCAUGAGCCAGACACUGAACCUGGGGCUACAUCAGUAAACAAGACCAUCCCAGACUCUGCCCUCAGGAAGCUAGCCAGUGAGUGGGGAAGCUCUAUAAAGCAGACAGUUGCAAGAUCCUGUAAUUACGGUGAGAGGAAAGAGAAAUAUUUUGGGAGAUGCAUGCCAAUGACUGUGGCCUGAAGUUUGACCUUUUCUCCAUCAGGCAGUCAUAAUGGAAGAUGCUUACCCACCCCUGUCCUGGGGUAGGAGGGAUAGCAGAUGGGAUGGCAGUGUCAUUUAGAAAAUUGCCUUCAAAAUGUCUAUUUUUAUAAUGUAGGCUACAGAAAGUACAGUUCCACACAGUGUUUUGUUAUUUUGGCCUUUUGGACAAAGAAGUCAUAUGUAUACUGGUGUGGUAUAGGAGAGAAUUACUGCAGGGUCCCUGAAUUUACAAAGAUCAGGGAAUCCAAGGUGGAAAAACCAGGGCAUGGAACCCACCAAGAAAAUGUUUCAAGAAGUCCCCUGAGACCCUGGGGUGGGGAUUGCUCCUGCAAUGCAGCGGGUGUCAGUCCUGUGAGUGGGCAGGAUGCAGAGGCCUCUGGCUAAACCACACAAGGUGCUGCCAGACUCCCUGGGCUGGAGGAAGCCCUGCCCCUGUGUGUGCAAGCAUCACCCUCCCGUGACAUGUGAUGAUGUCUCAUGGUAACUGAUGGCCUCAAGGCACCCACCAAACCUAUAUGAAGCAACCAGCACCACGCAGAGGGUGGGACCUGAUGGAGUGACUUGAUGAAGUUUAAUGGGAGGACAAGGCUUGGCCUAGAGUGUUGCCUUCCAUUGGUGUGGCCCAGCAUGCAACGGCACACUCCCUGCUGCCAGCUGGAAUGCCACCAUGACUCACUUGGGCUCACCAUGGCAUCUCCAAACAAGACAUCGGAAUUUGUAAACUGUCCCCACUCCAGGGGCUGAAUUCAUGCCUUUUCACCUAGUCUCAAGGACAGGGAUGCUUUACAGCAGUGCUUUCCAAACAAAUCCCCUGGGGACCUACUUAAUGCAAAUUCUGAUUCUGAAGGUCUGGGUGGGACUGAGAUGUUUCAUUUCUAAACAAGUUCCAGGGGAUGUCAAUGUUGCUGAUCUGGGGACCACACUGUGAGUAGCAAGACCUGAAAACAUUCACCAAAGUGAGUGAAAUUUAACCUUCACUUCUCCUUCACAAGGAAGGAUGAUCGGCUCCACCAUCUGGUGCUCACUCAGCAAGCAUUUGUUGAGCCUAGGAACUGAGAUAAUGGUAACACCAUUGGCGGAAAUAAUGAAGUCAGAGACAGGAACUGUUGUUUUAGGAGAAAUAAUAAUAAUUACCUUUGCUUGAAUGCCUGUCCUGUUCUAUGAUCUUGUUUGAUCCUUAUAUUUGGAAGGUAGAUAUUAUUAAUCUUCAUUAAUUUCAUAGUGGAAUUAGGCUCAAAAAGGUGAAGUGAUUUUCCCUGAGGUGUCAUUGCUGGCUGGAAAUUGAACCUGGUCUAUUAAACUCCAAAAUCUACCUGAUCCCACUGUGAAGCAGUUCCUUGUUCUAGAGAGUGGGGAAUUAGCGUUAAGUAGAUUCAGCAUAGUGGUUCGCAACCCUGCCUGCACGUUAGAAUCACCAAGAAAACUUUAAACCCCCCCACACCCCAAACUAAUUACAAUAGACUCUCUAGGGGAGGGAUGCUCUAUCCACAUUUUUUAAAGCUCUCCAGGUAAUUCCAAUGUGCAGACAAGCCUGGGAAUCGCUGAGUUAGCCCAACUCUUCUCCUAAGAAGUGAGCAAUUGAGAAGCCAAUAAAUGAAAUGGCAACCUUGUCAGAACUAGUAUCUCUCCAUUCCUUCUCCAGGACUGUUUCCAAUAAACUGGCUAAACAUAACAUGCUGUAGUGGGAUGAAGCAGAAUGGGAAAGAAAGUAGGAUACAGGAAUUUGCCAAGGGAAAAUACAUAAGGAGCUGAGAAUCCAAGCCAACACUGGAGGCAACACACAUUUAGGAGCUGAGGAGAAGAUUCUGAAAGAUAGAGAAUUUCACCAAACUAAAAUCCUUAACAUCAAGAACAACAUUUCUUCAUUUAGGAAUCCUCCUGUGUUUGGCAUCUCUUACACGAUGGAUGAGUGAACGGAGGAAAUGAGAAAGGUGGUGUGGCUCUAAUGGACAAGAAAGUUCAGAAGCCAAGUUGAGUAGGAAAUGGGUGUCACAUUGGGAUUGAGGAAAGGCAUAAUAACAGUUCUUAUGUCCUCUUACGUAUAUUUGAUGAACUGCCUCAAAAUCUUUCUGGAAAGAGAGGUCCAUUAGGAAUGGAGAGAGCUAUUGGAUCCUGACUUCAUCAUCCGGUACCUUCCGGCCCAGAUGGGACUGUGCAUCCAGGGAGAAGUUUGUCCCCUUAUUCAAGCCAGGAGGAAGGUUCCAUUUGGAAACCCCCAAGGUAAACCAGUGCUGAUUGAGAGGGGCUGACAUCAGAAUGGGGGCACCUCUACAUGUUCGGCACGGUGCUUUGAAGAUGUCAUCCCUCAUCACAACUUUAUAAAGGAAGAAAAGUUACCCCACUUUACACUGAGGAAUCUGAGGCUCAGAAACUGGAAAAAAUGUUGGAAGGAGAUUUGCCUGAACCUGGAAACUCUUAUUAUGAACCUAGACCUAUACACACCCUACCUCAGCUGCUCGGGAGGCACUUGG